CACUAUGCCUAGCCCUAAACAUUGACAGUUAAUUACACCCACUGUCCGCCUGGGAACUACGAGCACCAGCUUAAAACCCAAAGGACUUGGCGGUGCUUUAGACCCACCUAGAGGAGCCUGUUCUAGAACCGAUAAUCCCCGUUAAACCUCACCCUUCCUUGUCAUUUCCGCCUAUAUACCACCGUCGCCAGCUUACCCUGUGAAGGCCCAAUAGUAAGCACAAUCGGCAAUGCCCAAAACGUCAGGUCGAGGUGUAGCGUAUGGAAGGGGAAGAAAUGGGCUACAUUUACUAACACAGUAAACACGGAUGAUUACCCUGCAACGAGUAUCUGAAGGAGGAUUUAGCAGUAAGCAAAAAGCAGAGUGUUUUGCUGAAAUUGGCCCUGAAGCGUGCACACACCGCCCGUCACUCUCUCCGAACUAAAACUUUAAACAUAACUAAUAUGCUAUAACUGUAAAGGGGAGGCAAGUCGUAA
rnacentral:rRNA from 1 species